rnacentral:rRNA from 1 species
UUCCGGUUGAUCCUGCCGGACCCGACUGCUAUUUGGGUGAGAAUAAGCCAUGCGAGUUGAAUGGGAUACCUAAAGUUCCCAUAGCAAACUGCUCAGUAACACAUGAUCAACUUACCCUAUAGAGAAAAAUAACCUCGGGAAACUGAGGAUAAUGUUUCACAAUUGAAUUGGCUUGGAAAAGUUUUUCAAUGAAAAGGAUAAAAAAAAUGGUUUUUAUCUGCUAUAGGAUAGGAUCGUGUUCGAUUAUGGUUGUUGGUGAGAUAAUGGCUCACCAAGCCGAUAAUCGAUAGGGGCCGUGAGAGCGGGAGCCCCGAGAUGGGUACUGAGACAACGACCCAGGCCUUACGAGGCGCAGCAGGCGCGGAACCUCCGCAAUACACGAAAGUGUGACGGGGUUACCCAAAGUGUUCAAUAGAACUGUGGUAGGUGAGUAAUGUCCCCUACUAGAAAGGAGAGGGCAAGGCUGGUGCCAGCCGCCGCGGUAAAACCAGCUCUUCAAGUGGUCGGGAUAAUUAUUGGGCUUAAAGUGUCCGUAGCCGGUUUAGUAAGUUCCUGGUAAAAUCGGGUAGCUUAACUAUCUGCAUGCUAGGAAUACUGCUAUACUAGAGGGCGGGAGAGGUCUGAGGUACUACAGGGGUAGGGGUGAAAUCUUAUAAUCCUUGUAGGACCACCAGUGGCGAAGGCGUCAGACUGGAACGCGCCUGACGGUGAGGGACGAAAGCCAGGGGAGCGAACCGGAUUAGAUACCCGGGUAGUCCUGGCCGUAAACGAUGCAUACUAUGUGAUGGUACGGCCAUGAGCCGUAUCAGUGCCGUAGGGAAACCGUUAAGUGUGCCGCCUGGGAAGUACGGUCGCAAGGCUAAAACUUAAAGGAAUUGGCGGGGGAGCACCACAAGGGUGAAGCCUGCGGUUCAUUGGAUUCAACGCCGGAAUCACUAGUGCGGCCGCCU